GCUGGCGGCGUGCCUAAUACAUGCAAGUCGAGCGAACGGACGAGAAGCUUGCUUCUCUGAUGUUAGCGGCGGACGGGUGAGUAACACGUGGAUAACCUACCUAUAAGACUGGGAUAACUUCGGGAAACCGGAGCUAAUACCGGAUAAUAUUUUGAACCGCAUGGUUCAAAAGUGAAAGACGGUCUUGCUGUCACUUAUAGAUGGAUCCGCGCUGCAUUAGCUAGUUGGUAAGGUAACGGCUUACCAAGGCAACGAUGCAUAGCCGACCUGAGAGGGUGAUCGGCCACACUGGAACUGAGACACGGUCCAGACUCCUACGGGAGGCAGCAGUAGGGAAUCUUCCGCAAUGGGCGAAAGCCUGACGGAGCAACGCCGCGUGAGUGAUGAAGGUCUUCGGAUCGUAAAACUCUGUUAUUAGGGAAGAACAUAUGUGUAAGUAACUGUGCACAUCUUGACGGUACCUAAUCAGAAAGCCACGGCUAACUACGUGCCAGCAGCCGCGGUAAUACGUAGGUGGCAAGCGUUAUCCGGAAUUAUUGGGCGUAAAGCGCGCGUAGGCGGUUUUUUAAGUCUGAUGUGAAAGCCCACGGCUCAACCGUGGAGGGUCAUUGGAAACUGGAAAACUUGAGUGCAGAAGAGGAAAGUGGAAUUCCAUGUGUAGCGGUGAAAUGCGCAGAGAUAUGGAGGAACACCAGUGGCGAAAGCGACUUUCUGGUCUGUAACUGACGCUGAUGUGCGAAAGCGUGGGGAUCAAACAGGAUUAGAUACCCUGGUAGUCCACGCCGUAAACGAUGAGUGCUAAGUGUUAGGGGUUUCCGCCCCUUAGUGCUGCAGCUAACGCAUUAAGCACUCCGCCUGGGGAGUACGACCGCAAGGUUGAAACUCAAUGAA
rnacentral:rRNA from 1 species